rnacentral:rRNA from 1 species
AUUGAACGCUGGCGGCAUGGCUAAAGCAUGCAAGUCGAACGGACCCGCAAGGGUCAGUGGCGAAAGGGUCAGUAAUACGAUCGAACGUACCCUGAGGUGUGGGAUAGCCGCGGGAAACUGCGGGUAAUACCACAUGUGCUCUACGGAGGAAGGCCGCAAGGCGCCUCGGGAGCGGCGAUCGUCCUAUCAGGUAGUUGGCGGGGUAA